AUUGAACGCUAGCGGGAUGCUUUACACAUGCAAGUCGAGCGAGUGGCGGCCGGGUGAGUAAUAUAUCGGAACGUGCCCAGUAGCGGGGGAUAACUACUCGAAAGAGUGGCUAAUAACGCAGACUAUUUGAGCGACCGAUAUCGGAUUGGCUAGUUGGUGGGGUAAAGGCUCACACAGGUAACGAUCCAUAGGUGGUUUGAAAGGACGACCAGCCACACUGGGAAUGAUACACGGCCCAGACUCCUACGGGAGGCAGCAGUGGGGAAUUUUGGACAAUGGGGGAAACCCUGAUCCAGCCAUCCCGCGUGUAUGAGAAGGCCUGCGGGUUGUAAAGUACUUUUGGCAGAGAAGCGGUAUCUGCAGAAUAAGCACCGGCUAACUACGUGCCAGCCGCCGCGGUAAUAC
rnacentral:rRNA from 1 species